AGCAGCGUGGCUCAGUGGAAAGAGCCUGGGCUUCGGAGUCGGAAGUCAUGGGUUCGACUCCCGGCUCUGCCA
rfam:Ornithorhynchus anatinus chromosome 7, whole genome shotgun sequence.